UACCUCCUGGUGCUCACCACAGGCUGUGUUCUUUACACCAACUGUAUAGAAAGAGGAAGUAUAGUAAUCCCAUCCCAUAUACACCCCAACUCAGGCCCUCUGCCUGGUCUGUAUUGUGAACGGGGGACAUGG